rnacentral:tRNA from 1 species
AAAGGGAGACCUAAUUCAGGUAAAAGACGAAAAAAAAGUAGUCGCUACCAAGAAUCAAUCCCAAAAGGUCGGAGCGAGGCGAAAUUGGCUUUCAAACUAGGUUCUGGGUUCAAACAAGACCUGAAUCAGGAACAAGGGCUAUUAGCUCAGGUGGUUAGAGCGCACCCCUGAUAAGGGUGAGGUCCCUGGUUCGAGUCCAGGAUGGCCCACCUGCAUAGGUGGCAAAAACAAGAGAAGCGAGGAAUCAGCACCUUAUCUUACUUAUAUAGUAAGAGAGAAUGCUGGCUCUGAGUAAAGAGUCCAGAGGAACCUUGAAAACUGCAUAGAGCUAGGUGAAAAAGCCAAAAAAGAAGACCGCAAG